CACGUAGUUAGCCGGGGACUUUCUUCUCAGGUACCGUCACUCCCCUAGCAGUUACGUCUAGGAGGACGUUCUUCCCUGGCAACAGAGCUUUACGAUCCGAAAACCUUCAUCACUCACGCGGCGUUGCUCCGUCAGACUUUCGUCCAUUGCGGAAGAUUCCCUACUGCUGCCUCCCGUAGGAGUCUGGGCCGUGUCUCAGUCCCAGUGUGGCCGUUCACCCUCUCAGGUCGGCUACGCAUCGUCGCCUUGGUGAGCCGUUACCUCACCAACCAGCUAAUGCGCCGCAGGCCCAUCCGUAAGUGACAGAUUGCUCCGCCUUUCCCAAACUCCCCCAUGCGAGGAAUUUGCGUAUCCGGUAUUAGCUACCGUUUCCGGUAGUUACUCCCAGUCUUACGGGCUAGGUUGCCUACGUGUUACUCACCCGUCCGCCGCUAAGCUAAUCAGGAGCAAGCUCCCGAUUAACCUCCGCUCGACUUGCAUGUAUUAGGCACGCCGCCAGGCCGUUCGUCCUGACGCCGAGGAUA
rnacentral:rRNA from 1 species